rnacentral:sRNA from 1 species
UUGAUAGUAAGGUAGAGAAC